GCCAAAUUUGAGAAAAAAAUCAGAAAACAAAAGUUCUUCACACUUGAAGAACUUGCAUGCAAAACACAAACAAGAAAGCAAUCCGAAAACGUAAAGCGAAACGUAAUACGCUAGACGGUUAAGGUGUGAGUUUCGGGAUUGGACGUGAAUUUGGAGAUGUUUUGGGAAGCAAUUUCAAGUGUUGAACAACGUUAAAAUCAGGUGCAGGUGCAGGCGGACGGUAGACCUUACGAGAUGACACAACAGCUAUCCAAACAUGAAAUAAUAUCUGAACAUGGUUGGACCUCAUGCUUUUAAGGUUGCUCACCUAUUAUAUUCUAGCUUAGAUAUAGGUUUGAGUUAGUGGAGUAUAUUCCACUAGAAUUUCUUUCUCAGUUUAUUUCAAACAUUGUAUUUGUGUCAUUUUGUCAAGUAUGCACUUGAUGCAGUAUUGAACUAUUUCUUUCAUUUGAUGAUGUUAA